CCGCCCAUAGCUCAGUUUGGUAGAGCACCUGCCUCUUAAGCAGAGGGUCGUAGGUUCGAGUCCUACUGGGCGGACUA
rnacentral:tRNA from 1 species